AUUGUAAUUUGCAUCGCAUCGCCCGCCGCUGGAACUCUACUCGUUCCCAAAUCCCAAUCCAUCGAACACACGGAGAGAGUCGCGUCGGAGGAUAAUGAAGAUGGUCUCCUCGUGCUCGCAGCCGUGCGCAGCUCGACUCCUCUCGAAGACGGACUUCUGUGGAUACAUCGGUCUCCGGCCGGUUCCUUCGUUUUCCGAGAACGAUGAACCUUCGCGAUGGAGAUCCUCUUUGCCAUAUCGGUUUCCGCCUCGGCGUUCAGGGAAUCUGCCUAGUGGUGUAGUGCUGCAAAAUCCGAGAAGUGGAACAAGCUUAGAUGCUUAGCUUUUACCCCAGUUAGACCUACAUUUUCCUUCUGCGGUGCAGGGAGUGUUCUUACCUAGGUGGUGUUGAAUUCUAUUACCACGAUGGGAUGAGUGCCCUUACCUUGGUGGAGGUGAAUUCUCUUAUCCCGGCAUGUUCUUAGCUCAGUGGAGGUUAAUUUGAUGGAGGUGAUUACUCUACAGGCAGAGGUUGCAGAACUCAUGCCAUGCAUGGAAGAAAAUAAGAAUCUCAGUUAUUGUAAGGUUGUAGAGGUGAUUGCUGAAACAACUACACCAUUGCUGCCUAUGGAGGAGCUUCUUGCCAAGAUAAAGUCUGACAGGUUGACACUGAAUUUUACAGUUAUUCUACUUUUGCUACUAAUCCACAAACAAAUCAACCUAUAGUUCUAUACAGCAUGCUUGAUCUCUCACUCAUUCUCUCUCUUUGUAUAUUUCUUCAAACAAUUUCCAAUUCCUUCACUGAUGAUUUUUCUUUGCUAAAUAAUUUGAAUGCAGCAAGCCAUAUCCUAUCUACCAAUGAAACUUAAUUAUGAGUUAGCCAUGCUCCAUCUCUUUCAGAGCUUGCUCCUUCUGGUACUGAACCUAAACCUACCAAGCCAAUAGUGAAGGAUGAACCUGCAAACGUGCAAGAGCAAAUGAUCGCUCCACUUUCUCCUUAUGCUAUGCGAGCCACUUUUUACUAUCACAUAUGAUGCUGGAAACAUAACCCGUGAACUUGAAGUGUUUUAUAUAAAUAGGUAUAAUGACUUGAAACCAUCAAGUUCCUGAUUCCUGUGCAAAGUAUUACCAAGCCAUCAGCUGCUGUUAGUCCAUCCAAAAUGGCUGGAGAUGAUUGUGACCCCAGGAAAAUCUCUCCUUAUGUAGCAUAAGCAAGUUUUCCUUGCACUUGUCUGAUUUUGCUCUUGUUGACUGAGCUGAAUGCCUAAUGUGCUAUUCUGGCAGGUAUGAAGAUUUGAAACCACCUUCCUCUUCCUCUGCCACCCAAAUCACUGCUUCUGCCAAGACAAGUGCAAUGGAUGUAUUACUAGGGGAAUCCAUAACAGAAAAUGGUCCAACUACGAUAAAUCCAGUCCUUUCAGCCGCAACAUAACCUCAUGCAGUUGCAAAUACUAACUUGAAUCACCGAUCGCCAUUUCCUAUGCAAGAGAAACAAAAGAACCGGGUCAAACAAGAAGACGUGCGGCAAGUUGAAACAAGUUCAAGUACAUCACUUAUCUUUUAAAUAUAUGUAUAUUAUGUCAUUGAACUAUCCUUUUGGUCCAACAUCUCCAACAGAGACAUCGACGCCUCAACCAUUUCAUUUUUCUCCACAUAUUAAUUAAAUCCGUUCACUGUAACCCUUUUUCCUCGAUUUCAGUUCAAUUUCUCCAUGUUCUAUAAAUAAUCUCGUCUCUCUGCAAUGAACAUGAACUUGAGGAUGAUAAGGAGGAGAGGCUAGGUGAGAGCAUGAUGUUGGUACGGCUCAAUCAAAUCAUCCUGAUUUAUUCUGAGUAUUAUAAAUUUGUAGUUCGAUCCGAUUGAGCCGUGCCAAUAUCAAACUUUGCCCGGUCUAUUUCAGAAAAGAGAAGUUUAAUGCUAUUGUGCUGCAGGUUUGCAUAUGAGUGGCUCCUGGAGUAUAUCAGUCCAAGGUAUGUAUUUUUGAUAUCCUGAAAAAAUUAUAAGCAUGGAUCCUGGUAAUCCAUUUAUUCUGAUGGCCAAUUUGUCGGUGUUAUUAAAAUCAGAUAAUUGAUCAUUUAGAUUCUUUUGAACUGGCGUAGUAUAUUUGUUCGAUCAGGGAACCCCCAAAACUCCGGCCGAUCUGAUUUUAAGAACACUGCAAGCUGCAACAGAAGAGUACGCACGCAUGCAACAAUGGAUGUUCGGAGGAACUUACUAUUCGAUCCGUUUAAAUGGAUAUAGAUUUUAAAAAUUUGGAUAAAAUAGCAAAAUUCUUAUGGGUAUUGAUGAGUUUAGAUGAAAAGACUCGCUAGCUAGUGAAUAGUUGAGAAAAGUUAAGCUAUUUGAAGAUUAUAUAGGAUUCUAUCUAAAAUAAGGAAAGAUGAUGUGCUGGGUAGAUAUAUUUAAUGUUGACCGUGCUCGAAGAGGAUGACAUCGAGCGAUCUUUUCUAUGUACACCAUAGAGAGAGCAAAUGAAAAUGUUAGAGUGAGAACUAAGGAGGGGUCCCUGGUACAGACAUUCCAACGUUCAAGUUAGAACCGUGACAAAAAUGGAGAAGACGAUGAACAAUAGAAUAAUAAUGUUGAUGUGUGUGUGCGCGCAUAGCAUAAUGUAUUUGGCUAACAGAGAGGAUCUUUUUUUUACUGACCCUCAUAACCUAUGCAAUAAUUAGGCGUUAGAGAAUGUUUGGUGUCAGAAUAUGUCGAGUAAAAGAAGAGGUACGACCACCCUCAGAGGAAGGUUCUAUUGUGUGUAUAUGUCAGGAUAGUGAAAUAUUCCCUGACGAGCAACUGUUAUUAUCUGAUAGGUUGUUAUAAUUUUCUAACAUAGCUAUAUCUUGGAGGAAAUUUGACCGGUUCUGGGGCCGAUCGGUUAUAUGCUGGGAGACAUGCCCUUGAAGAGGAGCGUAGAUCCUCUGGUCCGCAAAACGCAGACUAGAGGAUGGACCACUCUCCACUAUUGGUGGAGAGUGAUAGCCCCACGUGUAAAAUAAGUGGGGGUAAUCACUCUCUACCAAUGGUGGAGAGCGACCCAUCCUCUGGUCCGCGUUUUGCGGACUAGAGGAUCUGAGCUGCUUGAAGAACGGGUAGCUAAGUCUCAAAAGGUCCGAUCAACUUUAAAAUUGACCAACUGUAUGUUGGAAGACUUGCCCUUGAAGAGUAGGAUCCCGAAGGUCCGACCGACUCAGCUGGGGUCGACUAGCUGCAUACUGGGAGUUGAGCCCAUGAAGUAGGGAGCUGAGUCUCGAAGGUCUGACCGAUGUUGGUACCGAUCAGCUAUAUGCUGAGAGACUUGCACAGGUGAAGUGAAUAGUUAAGUCUCGAAGGUCCAACCGGCAUUGGUGUCGAUUGGCUAUAUGUCGAGAGAUUUGUAUAGGAGAAGUGGAGAGUUGAGUCUCAAAGGUUCGACCGGUGGUAAUGUCGACCGGUUAUAUGCUGAGAGAUUUGCAUAUGCGAAGUAGGGAGCUGAGCCUCGUAAGUCUUACCGACACUGGGACCAAUCAAUUGUGUACUUGGAGCUGAGCCCAUGAAGUGGGGGGUUGCGCCCCGAAGGUCUGAUCGGUGUUGGAGCCGAUCGGUUAUAUGCUGAGACACUUGCACAUAGGAAGAGGGGAGCUGGGCCUCAAAAGUUUGACCGAUGUUGGGGCUGGCCGAGUAUAUGCUGAGACAUUUGCACAUAGAAGUGGGGAGUUGGACCCCGAAGGUCCAAUCGACUGUGUACUGGGAGUUGAGCCCAGGAGAAGUGGGUGGCUGAGCAUCAAAUAUGAGUGGUCUGUCCGACUACAUACACCCUGACUAUCUCCUUGACUUUGACUGUCACCUCUCUUUGACUUUGACUAUUAUAUCAACUUGACUUUAAUUGUCACCUCCUCUUAACUUCAACUACCAUAUUAUUUUAGGUAUCGAUCUCAUAUUAUUUUCGGGAGCAUCCACGACACGUCGUAUUAAUAUACAUACUUGACAUUCUUGUUUUUAUUUAAUUUUCUUUACCAGGUGAUAUUUGUUCAACAUUAGAUAGACGGACAUCUAUUUGAGAGUAUACGGGGAGGAACAUAUAUCCUAGACGACUGGGUAUGAGAUGAGCAACACUCUUAGCGAGAGUUUGACUGAGGCGAAUAGAGCAAGUUCAAUUCAGUUCAACUACAAAAGUUUGUUCAAGGUAAAUGAGUAUAGGGAUAGAGAUGAAAUUAGGUGCAGACUGCGGAGUUAUUUGUUUGCAUGUAUUUGUGGUGAAGGGAAUUUGGUGAGAGUGACAAUUAUGUAUUAAAGGUGUCGAUUAAUUGUGGCUCAGAGCAUUGGGGUACACUAGCAAGUCUCCAAUGCUGCCAAAAAGCCUCUUUCCCCUUUUAUGUGAGUCUUCUCACUAAUGAUACAUGAUACACCAUGUGAAAACGGUGCAUAGGUGGAUCCAACCUCGGCUUAAAUUUGUUUGCAACUGUCAGCUAAAUAUUCCGGCACGUGUAACUUUUUUUCAUUGGUUAAAUUCUGAGCACAUGCAUUAAAUCUUGUUCGCAAUGGUGUUACCAUCUCAAAGAGCAUGUCUCAUCGAGGACCUAAGUUCACCCCCAUCAGUUAUUCCUCUUAAACCAAGUUGUAGAAAGAUCAGUUCAAAUCUCCCAUUCUGCUGCCUCCGAGAGUUCUCAUUGCCACUUUGGUAAAACGUCUAGUUUUUCUAUUUCUUUUGUGUAAUUAUUUUUUUUAAUGAUACCAUAUGCAUAUCUUGAUAUACUUGAUUACAUUUUAUGUACAAAUAGCCUCCAUUUUAAUUGCAUUCAAU